AUUUAAGUAAAGCUGAAAGUAAAGCUGAACAGCAGCUCGACUCCUGAAACCAUCUUCAUGGUUCGAUUCAGUGAAAAUGGCGAUGAGAUCCGAAUCACUUUCUGACAUGUCAGCGAUCAGCUCCAGUCCAGAUGAUCCAGAGAUCUGGAUUCUUCUGGCUUUGGCUCAUCUGGAAACACUGUACUGGGAGAAAAUGGAUUCAUAGUGAAAAACAUGAAGCUGAAGU